rnacentral:rRNA from 1 species
UUUUUUAUAUACGCCCAAUAGGCGAUUGGCCCGACGUCGCAUGCUCCCGCGCAUGCGGCGGGGAUGAUAGUUGAUCUGCUCAGAUGAACGCUAGCGGGAUGCUUACACAUGCAAGUCGAACGGCAGCACGAGAGAGCUUGCUCUCUUGGUGGCGAGUGGCGGACGGGUGAGUAAUAUAUCGGAACGUCCCAUAGCGGGGGAUAACUACUCGAAAGAGUGGCUAAUACCGCAUACGCCCUACGGGGGAAAGGGGGGGAUCGCAAGACCUCUCACUAUUGGAGCGGCCGAUAUCGGAUUAGCUAGUUGGUGGGGUAAGGUCACCAAGGCAACGAUCCGUAGCUGGUUUGAGAGGACGACCAGCCACACUGGGACUGAGACACGGCCCAGACUCCUACGGGAGGCAGCAGUGGGGAAUUUUGGACAAUGGGGGAAACCCUGAUCAGCAUCCCGCGUGUAUGAUGAAGGCCUUCGGGUUGUAAAGUACUUUUGGCAGAGAAGAAAAGGCAUCCCCUAAUACGGGAUGCUGCUGACGGUAUCUGCAGAAUAAGCACCGGCUAACUACGUGCCACGCCGCGGUAAUACGUAGGGUGCAAGCGUUAAUCGGAAUUACUGGGCGUAAAGCGUGUGUAGGCGGUUCGGAAAGAAAGAUGUGAAAUCCCAGGGCUCAACCUUGGAACUGCAUUUUUAACUGCCGAUAGAGUAUGUCAGAGGGGGGUAGCGGAAUUCCUGGUGUAGCAGUGAAAUGCGUAGAUAUCAGGAGGAACAUCCAUGGCGAAGGCAGCUACCUGGGCCAACACUGACACUGAGCACCGAAGGCUAGAC